GGACGGGUGAGUAAUGCCUAGGAAUCUGCCUGGUAGUGGGGGACAACGUUUCGAAAGGAACGCUAAUACCGCAUACGUCCUACGGGAGAAAGCAGGGGACCUUCGGGCCUUGCGCUAUCAGAUGAGCCUAGGUCGGAUUAGCUAGUUGGUGAGGUAAUGGCUCACCAAGGCGACGAUCCGUAACUGGUCUGAGAGGAUGAUCAGUCACACUGGAACUGAGACACGGUCCAGACUCCUACGGGAGGCAGCAGUGGGGAAUAUUGGACAAUGGGCGAAAGCCUGAUCCAGCCAUGCCGCGUGUGUGAAGAAGGUCUUCGGAUUGUAAAGCACUUUAAGUUGGGAGGAAGGGCAGUAAGUUAAUACCUUGCUGUUUUGACGUUACCGACAGAAUAAGCACCGGCUAACUCUGUGCCAGCAGCCGCGGUAAUACAGAGGGUGCAAGCGUUAAUCGGAAUUACUGGGCGUAAAGCGCGCGUAGGUGGUUCGUUAAGUUGGAUGUGAAAGCCCCGGGCUCAACCUGGGAACUGCAUCCAAACUGGCGAGCUAGAGUACGGUAGAGGGUGGUGGAAUUUCCUGUGUAGCGGUGAAAUGCGUAGAUAUAGGAGACACCAGUGGCGAGCGACCACCUGACUGAUACUGACCUGAGGUGCGAAGCGUGGGGAGCAACAGAUAAAUACCUGGUAGUCA
rnacentral:rRNA from 1 species